rnacentral:rRNA from 1 species
ACUCAAAGGAAUUGACGGGCACCCGCACAAGCGGUGGAGCAUGCUGUUUAAUUCGAAAAUACGCGAAGAACCUUACCUAGAUUUGACAUCCCCGGCAAAGCUAUAGAAAUAUAGUGGAGGUUACCCGGGUGACAGAUGGUGCAUGGUUGUCGUCAGCUCGUGUCGUGAGAUGUUUGGUUAAGUCCAAUAACGAGCGCAACCCUUAUUCUUAGUUGCUAACAUUUAGUUGAGAACUCUAAGGAUACUGCCGAUGUAAGUCGGAGGAAGGUGGGGAUGAGGUCAAAUCAUCAUGCCUCUUACAUCUAGGGCUACAGGCGUGCUACAAUGGCUGGUACAACGAGUCGCAAUGCAGUGAUGCAAAGCUAAUCUCUUAAAGCCAGUCCCAGUCCGGAUUGGAGUCUGCAACUCGACUCCAUGAAGUUGGAAUCGCUAGUAAUCCCGAAUCAGAAUGUCGGGGUGAAUACGUUCCCGGGUGUUGCACACACCGCCCGU